rnacentral:rRNA from 1 species
GAUGAACGCUGGCGGCGUGCUUAACACAUGCAAGUCGAACGGAAAGGCUCCUGCUUGCAGGGGUACUCGAGUGGCGAACGGGUGAGUAACACGUGGGUGAUCUGCCCUGCACUUCGGGAUAAGCCUGGGAAACUGGGUCUAAUACCGGAUAGGACGAUGGUUUGGAUGCCAUUGUGGAAAGUUUUUUCGGUGUGGGAUGAGCUCGCGGCCUAUCAGCUUGUCGGUGGGGUAAUGGCCUACCAAGGCGUCGACGGGUAGCCGGCCUGAGAGGGUGUACGGCCACAAUGGGACUGAGAUACGGCCCAGACUCCUACGGGAGGCAACAGUGGGAAAUAUUGCACAAUGGGGGCAAGCCUGAUGCAGCGACGCCGCGUGGGGGAUGACGGCCUUCGGGUUGUAAACUCCUUUCGCUAGGGACGAAGCGCAAGUGACGGUACCUGGAGAAGAAGCACCGGCUAACUACGUG